ensembl:piRNA 21ur-981 ncRNA
UCACUCCAUACUACUAGAACA